rnacentral:rRNA from 1 species
CCUACGGGAGGCAGCAGUGGGGAAUAUUGCACAAUGGGCGAAAGCCUGAUGCAGCGACGCCGCGUGAGGGAUGACGGCCUUCGGGUUGUAAACCUCUUUCAGCAGGGAAGAAGCGCAAGUGACGGUACCUGCAGAAGAAGCACCGGCUAACUACGUGCCAGCAGCCGCGGUAAUACGUAGGGUGCGAGCGUUGUCCGGAAUUAUUGGGCGUAAAGAGCUCGUAGGCGGUCUGUCACGUCGGAUGUGAAAGCCCGGGGCUUAACCCCGGGUCUGCAUUCGAUACGGGCAGACUAGAGUGUGGUAGGGGAGAUCGGAAUUCCUGGUGUAGCGGUGAAAUGCGCAGAUAUCAGGAGGAACACCGGUGGCGAAGGCGGAUCUCUGGGCCAUUACUGCCGCUGAGGAGCGAAAGCGUGGGGAGCGAACAGGAUUAGAUACCCUGGUAGUCCACGCCGUAAACGUUGGGAACUAGGUGUUGGCGACAUUCCACGUCGUCGGUGCCGCAGCUAACGCAUUAAGUUCCCCGCCUGGGGAGUACGGCCGCAAGGCUAAAACUUAANGAAUUGACGG